GUCGGUUGUCGCUGGUCCUUUCGGGGGCAUGUGCACGCCUUCUCUUUCAUCCACACACACCUGUGCACUCGUGAGACGGAAGCCUUCGGGCGUCCGUCUGCUCUACAUAAACUCAUAUAAUAUAAUUCGAAUGUAAUUGAUGUAACACAUCUUUAAACUAAGUUUCAACAACGGAUCUCUUGGCUCUCGCAUCGAUGAAGAACGCAGCGAAAUGCGAUAAGUAAUGUGAAUUGCAGAAUUCAGUGAAUCAUCGAAUCUUUGAACGCACCUUGCGCUCCUUGGUAUUCCUUGGAGCAUGCCUGUUUGAGUAUCAUGAAAUUAUCAAAAUAAGUCUUUUGUUCAUUCGAUUGACUUUUAUUUUGGACUUGGGGGUCUGCAGAUUCACGUCUGCUCCUCUUAAAUAAAUUAGCUGGAUCUCAGUGAGCUCGGUUCCACUCGGCGUGAUAAGUAUCACUCGCUGAGGACACUGUAAAAGGUGGCCGGGAUUGCGGAUGAACCGCUUCUAAUCGUCCAUUUACUUGGACAACAAAUACUUUAUGAUCUGAUCUCAAAUCAGGUAGGACUACCCGCUGAACUUAAGCAUAUCAAUAA
rnacentral:rRNA from 1 species